AAAAAACAUGAUACCCACAGUGGAACUGCCAUUAUGCCAUCUUGAGCAAGUUGCGAUGAUGUUAUGACGUAAUGAACAGGACGAGUAAAGUGAGGGUUGAUCAUCAUUUAUUGAAGGCGUAUGUCUAUUCAGAAGGAAGCGCAAAGAAGAAUAUUGUGUGACAAUAACUAUUUGAACAAGCAUCAGUAUUAAAAAACAAUCAAUAAGAGGCAUCUGUCAGAGUGUGUGUGAGAUAAUAUUGCCUAUACAAAAUAAAAGACGCUAGUAAGCUACGUUUUCAAA